GCGGAUGAUAGCUCUCAUAUGGAGACGGAAGAAAAUGUGUUCAAGGUGCCCCAGAGAAAGAGACGGAGAAAUCGUCCUCAUGCACAGGCUAAGAGGAAAGGUGGCGCAGAGGAGCUGAAUUCUGGGGAGGUAGAGAGUGAGAGUGAAGCCUCCGACUGCAGUAUAACAUGUAGUGUAAAUCUAAGUGGCUUUUCGAGCCAUGAAUAUAGCGUGGACGACAUCAAGGUGUUUCUGAGAAAGACUAAGCAUGCUAGGAAUGUGAGGAUAGACGAGUUUUUCCCAGAUGUGGAACAGUUCAUUAGAAAAACACGUGGAGGAAAGAUGGCGUAGAGGAGCUGAAUUCUGGGGAGGUAGAGAGUGAGAGUGAAGCCUCCGACUGCAGUAUAA
ensembl:lncRNA